UACGAGGGGGGCGAGCGUUGUUCGGAAUUACUGGGCGUAAAGAGCGCGCAGGCGGUCGUUCAAGUCGCGUGUGAAAGCCCCCGGCUCAACUGGGGAGGGUCACGCGAUACUGAUCGACUCGAAGGCAGGAGAGGGAAGUGGAAUUCCCGGUGUAGUGGUGAAAUGCGUAGAUAUCGGGAGGAACACCAGUGGCGAAGGCGACUUCCUGGCCUGUUCUUGACGCUGAGGCGCGAAAGCUAGGGGAGCAAACGGG
rnacentral:rRNA from 1 species